CUAGUUAAGUGCCUCCUUUUUAGCACAAACAACAAAUGUAAUUGCCUCAUGGCCUGCGGGUGUCCAUUUAACAAAAGAGGCUUUUGUGGAGGCAAUACACAGGUGUUACCUUUCUUGAUUCAAGUGAAAUCUGAUGAAACAGUCCACAAUAUCAAAUAACACAUUUACUAAACUGUAAUCAAAUUCAUUUAUUUGAUUAGGCAAAUAACAUCUAAUUAAGAAAAGUUCUGGCUAAAAAAUAGUUGUAUGUUUGACCUUCAAAAGUUUCAAAAACCAGAAAAUCCUAAGAACAGACUGAUUUUUAAUUAACACUUUAUUUGCCAUAUAUUUUAUAGUUUACAACCAGCAAUGGUAGGGUUUGCAUUGGCCCUACCUAUUGCUCGUACUUCUUUAAUGGUUCUAAAAUGACCGCAAAGAAAACAAAACAAUAGUCAUGAAAGAAACAAACAAAAUUAUGACGCAAGGUGAGGAACAAAGUUUUUAGAAUCCUUUUUUUAAUGAUUAUUUUUUCAUUUUCCUGUAAUGUACAAGAAAAAGAGCACACAUUUAUGAAAGCAAUCAGAUAGUCUUUUUUUGCUUCUAUUUAGUAAAAACAAACGACUGAUAGAGCAACGAUACUCUAGUCUCAAAAGUAUUUCAUUUUGCAUGUUUCAAAGAUUUUAUUUUGUGUCUAAUGGAAUAAUCAGUGGGCUAUAAAAUGCAUAAUACCCUUGCCUAUGAAAAAAGUCUAUAUGAUGAAUGUAUAUUAAAAAGAUGUCAUUUUAGUCCAAUAAUUAAUAUUAUGUAAUUGUUUUUUAUCUUAUUAUCUUACAAAAAAGCAGUAUCAAGUUAUUAUACCUACUAUGUGGCCACUGUAUAUUCUGCUUAAUCAUGACUUAUGUAACCAAAGUGUGGCCAUAUUAAGAUCCUAUGCACACUAUUAGAGAUAAUAUUUGAAAAUGAAUAAUUUAUUAGUAUUUUUCUAAAAAGAUCUCAUAAAACCCAGUUUGUUUGAGUCAUGUAACAGCAAAAUUGGAAGCACCAUCAGUAAAUAGUUGUUUACCCUUCCUAUAGUGCCAGCAGAAGCUAUAAACAAAAACACAUGUAAAAAAGUGAAGAAUUAAAUUCUGAGAUACAAUAAAUAGAAGGGACUUUUAGAACACAAAGGUGAGAAAACAUUAAUUUUUAAAAAUGCGAGUGUCUGAAAUGUCAGUUCUGGGUAUCUCUCAAAGCAAACUCAAGGAACAGUUUUACUUAUUUUCAUUGUCAUUCUCCUCGCCCUAACUACUUGCCCACAUUCUGUCUACCUGAGCUAAUUAAGGCCGAGGAGUAUCUGGAGUCCUGAUAGAAGUGUUUCCAAAUGCUAGAUGCAUAAUAAAGGGAUUGUAGAGACCAGGCACAGAAUAGUUAAUACACUGACUAUUUUAAUACGUACUAUUUCUAUACGGUCCUGCUUCCUUUUCUCCCUUUUAAAAUUCAGCCUCAUUGCUGUCCUAUCUACAUCAUUGCUGGGAACUGUUAUUGCCCUUCCCUUCUUAAAAAUGGUGCCACCUUACAUUCAUAGCCAGUCAUCACCAAAGAGGAAUUUACACAAAAGUUUCAGUAGGCUACACCUAUAGCAUUGGGGUUUGAGUAAGGGGUAUGCUUUUUACUAACAGUCUCUCUUUCGUUAUUGAGCUUCUCCCUGCUGAGUAGGUUUAAAGCUUAGUCUAAGGCUUGACUUGCUCAUUCUCGUGGCGAUUGCAAGAUAAGCUCUUUCAUCUUCUCCCUAAGCUCUCAAUACCUCCAUCUAGCCUGAAUAGUAACCUCUGGUGGGCUGUUUAGGAUAGUGGUUAAAAAUACAGUCCACACAGUCACACAUAGUCCUGAGGUCCAAAUACAGCUUUGCAUACUAGUUAAGCACCUUGGGCAAGUUAUUUAAACCUCAUCAAUACAACUGAGACUAAUAAAUACCUUACAGAAAUACUAUGAGAACCAAAUGAAACAAGACUCCUGGCACCCAGGAAGCAAUCAGUAAGAGCACUUACUAGCAGCUGCCACAUUUGCCAGUGUGAAUUAUGUCUAUUGGGCUUUCUUUGUCCCUGGUUUCCCAGGCAGUCUACCCAGAUCUCUGCAAAGUUAACUGUGCUUUGCUAUUUUACUUUAUGUUUCUGGUUAUUUUCUUUUACACUAUAUUCAAUUAUAUAGCUCUGGUGUUACCCAAGUCUUUGACUUGAAUCCAAUAUAAUUAAAAAUGUACAUUAAUUAUGAGUAAGUACCACAUCAAUUAUGCCACCUAAUUUAAUGAAAUUCAGUUUUUAAGAUAAAAUCAUCCUAGAUUAGCAGUAAAAACUAACAUUUCUAUUCUUUUUUUUUUUUUUUUUCUGAGACAGAGUCUUGCUCUGUUGCCCAGGCUGGAGUGCCAUGGCGCGAUCUUGGCUCACUGCAACCUCUGCCACCUGGGUUCAAGCGAUUCCCCUGCCUCAGCCUCAAGAGUAGCUGGGAUUACAGGCAUGCACCACCACGCCUGGCUAAUUUUUGUAUUUUUAGUAGACACAGGGUUUCACUAUGCUGGUCUCGAACUUAAAUGGGCAUGCUCAUCAAGCAAUGUUUAUUAAAUAUUGAAUGCUUAGGCCCUUAUCAAGCAUCCACUUCUUCAGAACCAUUUACCAACUAGUCAGAAUGUAGGAGAUGGAGAAGAGGGUUGGGACUGAAGCCAGUUUAUAGGCCUUUCUAUCCAUGCCUCCCAAUACUAUUGUCCCUGUGUUUUACCUCUGUCUCUUUGUAAAUACAAUGUUACCUGCUAUUUUGAGAUUUGGAUUUAAAAAAAGCACUUUAUAUUCUCAUUCUAAGACUAUCUCUGCACUUUCAUUUUAAUACAGCUUGAUCUAUAUACUUGCUUUCCUUCCAAAGGAUGAGCCCAACUUAAUUCAACAAAGGGUAUUUCAGACUGUAGUAGAAAAUGGUGUUAAGUAUUACAAUAAUGAGUUUUCUCAUGCUCUCAGAAAAACAGUUCUGAACAGUAAAUUAGAUGCAUACUGUACACAGUAUGUACUAACAUGUUUCCACCAAAAGUUUUAUUCGUGGCACUCCACUUAAUUCUUUCCCAAAUCCAAACUCAUCCUAUAUGGAUUUAUUGCUACAGAUGAAUCUCUGUUGCUCUUUUCAAUCUCCUGUUGUUGCUGUACAUAGCUGCUUCACAUAGAGAUUGGCCAGAAAAACAGAUUUAUAUCUGAAAGGGUAUUAGAAAUAGAUUACCAGUAGAAAGGUUGCCAUACUUCAAAAAAGAAAUGAUUAAAAAUAAAUAUGUAGGUAUUUUUGUACUUGAUGUUACUGAUGCAUUUUUUUAAAAACAGGCAUUGUUGAAUAUAUUUGACAGACUUCUCCUGCUUGUGUUUUACUCAUCGAAACACAACUCUAAUGUAUCAAACCCAGCAGAUUAUUUAGAAUAAAAUCUAGGUUUGUGAAUACAAAAUUGCAAAUUAGGCAGGUGGAUGACAGAUGAAUUUUUUUUUUUUUUUGAGACAGAGUCUCACUCUAUUGCCCAGGCUGGAGUGCAGUGGCACGAGACGGAUGGCAUUUUUUAGUGAUGAUGCAUGAUACAAAGAGAAUAGCUGAAGAUCUUUAAAAAGUAAGAAUGAUCUAGGGCUGAGCGCAUCAAAACACUGUUUUGACUAGGAGACAGAAACAGACUAUGGACAUCAAGGAGGGAAUAGCAAAGCAUCCAGAUGUCAUCUGGGGAAAGCAGUACUUUUUUGCUACUUGCUGUAAAAUUUAAUUGCCACAGUAUUAAUUUAAAAUAUAAUCUACCUUAAUCUUAUUAGUAGACUUCUACACUUGUCCAAAAUUUUAUAUAUCUUCUUUCCAUUUCCCAAAUUAACAUCUCCCCCAACAACCCUAUUUUAUUGUACCACUCACCCUGUGGCAAGAACUAACAACUUGGGUGUCAUUUUUAAGCCUUUCAAUUCCCUUUCUUCCAGCAUCCAAUCUUCUCUAGAUUAUUUCCUUAAUCUUUCUGCAAUCUUUGUACUUCUUCCUAUUCUCGAUGUUAUUAUCUCAGUUAUGCCUCACUCACAGCCUAUUAACUGGUCUCUCUGCCUCCAGGCUCUCCUAAUCCUAGCCAUCCUCUAAUAGUCUACACUAACAACAGAAUGGCCCCACAGAAACUAAAUAAAAACUAAGCCUGAUCAUGUUAUUCCCCUGCUUGAAACAUAAAAGGAACUGAGCCUUGUUUAAUUCUUAUUUUUAGGGAUGGGGUCUUGCUAUAUUGCCCAGGUUGACUUUGAGCUCCUGGGUUCAAGCCAUCCUCCCACGUAACAGACUACCAUGCUUGGCUUAUACCUUUCAUUUUUAUCUCUUCUUACUACUCAUCCCUCCUACUACAUGUGCCAUACACUGGAACUCUUACUUUUGGCAGUUCCCCAAAAGCACAAUGCUGUACUUACUUCUAGGCCUUCAGAAUAUGCUGCUUUCUUUGACUAACUCCUACUUACCCUUUAAAACUUCAACUCAGGUUUCACUUUCCCAUUCUGGAAAAAUCCCAUCUAACCCAGUCUGGAUAAAUAUCCUUGUGUCUUAUCAAAGCACCUGUGCCUAAUUCUAUUAUACUAUACUGUAAUUUCAUCUAUUCCUCCAACUUAACUAUAACCUCCUAAAGUUACACUGUCCAAUAUGGCAGCCACUAGUCAUAUAUGUGGCUAUCUAAAUUUUAAAAUUACAUAAAAUUAAGAAUUCAGUUCCUCAGACACACUAGCCAUGCUUCAUGUGCUCAACAGCCAUGUGUGCCUAGUGGCUACCAUAUUGGACAGCACAGAUACAGGAUAUUUCCAUUAUUUCAGAAAGUUCUAUUGGUGUUGCUGGGGGCAAAGAUGACUACCCUAACGUGUACUGGCCCUCAAGUAAGUGCUCAGUAAGUGUCUGUGGAAUUAAUGAAUGCACACAUCGAAAAAGAAAGUUGAGAGGUUAAUGUCUGGCAAAUUUUGUAUACUCCUAUAGCCUCCUGAAAGCUAUUUAAGUCUUCUCUCCCAGUCUACCCUUAGAUGUCCCCCCUCCCAAGUCCAGUGGUCUGGCUGCUUCUGAGGCAGCCUCAUUAAGGAAGAUGUGUGAGUGCUAGGAUUGGUCUGGGGUCAGAAGUCCAUUAUCGGUCUCAGUCUGUGUCCCUAGACCUACUUUGACUUUCCUUACACUGGGAAGUCAGGUCAAAUUUCAAGUCUCUUUAGACAACAGAAGGUUUCUCUAAUCCUUCUUGCUUUCAAGAAUCAUACAUAAUGUACACAAAGUAGAUGAGAAUCUUAAGUUGCAUCGAAGAAUUUUAAAUUACCUAUAAUUGUAAGUACUUUGUUAAAUACUGCUUAGUCUCCUUUUCUUGUUAGCUCUGCAUUUGUGUUUAGUUGGAUACAAGCACUAGCUGUGCCAUGCUAAGUGAUUUAUACAUUUUCUUAAAGUAAUUAUGAAAAUUCUGUCCCAGGAGGAAAACACUCUAACGUCCAGAUUGGCAGUGCAAUAACUUGUAAUGCCAAUAUUUUCUUGCUAAUUUAACAUCUUUAGCCAUUUUAUAAUAUGCAUACCUGCUUUUGUAUCUAUUUUUCCUUUUUUUCAUUCUUGUUUUAGGUAGAGAAUUGUUUGGUUUGGUGAGAAUAUUUUUAUGGGCUAAGAUUAAGUUGUUCACAAAAACCUGUCAAAUUUUAAUUACCCAAAGUGGUAACAUCAAAACUUCAUUUACUUGCUUAUUCCAAAAGGGAGUUGAAUAUAUUUCACUUACUCAACAGCAGUUUUUCCAGUAGAUCUAGUAAAGACUGUUAUAGCACCUGGGCGCGGUGGCUCACACCUGUAAUCCCAGCACUUUGGGAGGCCGAAGCAGGCAGAUCACUUGAGGUCAGGAGUUCGAGACCAGCCUGCCCAAUAUGGUGAAACCCUGCCUCUACUAAAAAUACAAAAAUUAGCCGGGCAUGGUGGCAAGCGCCUGCAGUCCCAGCUACUCAGGAGGCUGAGGCAGGAGAAUUGCUUGAACCUCGAAGGCAGAGGUUGCAGUGAGCCAAGA
rnacentral:lncRNA from 1 species